GAUGAACGCUGGCGGCGUGCCUAAUACAUGCAAGUCGAACGAAACUUCUUUAUCACCGAGUGCUUGCACUCACCGAUAAAGAGUUGAGUGGCGAACGGGUGAGUAACACGUGGGCAACCUGCCCAAAAGAGGGGGAUAACACUUGGAAACAGGUGCUAAUACCGCAUAACCAUAGUUACCGCAUGGUAACUAUGUAAAAGGUGGCUAUACUACCGCUUUUGGAUGGGCCCGCGGCGCAUUAGCUAGUUGGUAGGGUAAAGGCUUACCAAGGCAAUGAUGCGUAGCCGAAUUGAGAGGUUGAUCGGCCACAUUGGGACUGGGGCACGGCCCAAACUCCUACGGGAGGCAGCAGUAGGGAAUCUUCCACAAUGGGCGAAAGCCUGAUGGAGCAACGCCGCGUGGGUGAAGAAGGUCUUCGGAUCGUAAAACCCUGUUGUUAGAGAAGAAAGUGCGUGAGAGUAACUGUUCACGUUUCGACGGUAUCUAACCAGAAAGCCACGGCUAACUACGUG
rnacentral:rRNA from 1 species